rnacentral:rRNA from 1 species
CCUACGGGUGGCAGCAGUGGGGAAUAUUGGACAAGGGGGGGAACCCUGAUCCAGCCAUGCCGCGGGUGUGAAGAAGGCCCUCGGGUUGUAAAGCACUUUCAGUGAGGAAGAACGCCUGGUGGUUAAUACCCAUCAGGAAAGACAUCACUCACAGAAGAAGCACCGGCUAACUCCGUGCCAGCAGCCGCGGUAAUACGGAGGGUGCGAGCGUUAAUCGGAAUUACUGGGCGUAAAGCGCGCGUAGGUGGCUUGAUAAGCCGGUUGUGAAAGCCCCGGGCUCAACCUGGGAACGGCAUCCGGAACUGUCAAGCUAGAGUGCAGGAGAGGAAGGUAGAAUUCCCGGUGUAGCGGUGAAAUGCGUAGAGAUCGGGAGGAAUACCAGUGGCGAAGGCGGCCUUCUGGACUGACACUGACACUGAGGUGCGAAAGCGUGGGUAGCAAACAGGAUUAGAUACCCCAGUAGUC